UACGUAGGGUGCGAGCGUUGUCCGGAAUUAUUGGGCGUAAAGAGCUCGUAGGCGGUCUGUCGCGUCGGUCGUGAAAACUUGGGGCUUAACCCUGAGCUUGCGGUCGAUACGGGCAUGACUGGAGUUCGGUAGGGGAGACUGGAAUUCCUGGUGUAGCGGUGAAAUGCGCAGAUAUCGGGAAGAACACCCGUGGCGAAGGCGGCUCUCUGGGACGGUACUGACGCUGAGGAGCGAAAGCGUGGGGAGCGAACAGG
rnacentral:rRNA from 1 species